rnacentral:rRNA from 1 species
UACGGAGGGGGCUAGCGUUGUUCGGAAUUACUGGGCGUAAAGCGCGCGUAGGCGGCUUUGUAAGUUAGAGGUGAAAGCCCAGGGCUCAACCCUGGAAUUGCCUUUAAGACUGCAUCGCUUGAACAUCGGAGAGGUAAGUGGAAUUCCGAGUGUAGAGGUGAAAUUCGUAGAUAUCAGGAAGAACAUCUGUGGCGAAGGCGGCUUGCUGGGCCAUCACUGACGCUGAGACACGAAAGCGUGGGGAGCAAACGGG